rnacentral:rRNA from 1 species
GGUAUGGGAUGAGCUUGCGUCCGAUUAGCUAGUAGGCGGGGUAACGGCCCACCUAGGCGACGAUCGGUAGCCGGCCUGAGAGGGUGAUCGGCCACAUUGGGACUGAGAUACGGCCCAGACUCCUACGGGAGGCAGCAGUAGGGAAUAUUGCACAAUGGGGGGAACCCUGAUGCAGCAACGCCACGUGUGGGAAGAAGCAUUUCGGUGUGUAAACCACUGUCGUGAGGGAAUAAGGCAUUUUUUCGGAGAUGUUGAAUGUACCUCGAAAGGAAGCACCGGCAAACUUCGUGCCAGCAGCCGCGGUAAUACGAGGGGUGCAAGCGUUGUUCGGAAUCACUGGGCGUAAAGGGAGCGCAGGCGGAAGUGCAAGCAAUCUGUACAAUCCCGGGGCCCAACCCCGGUCCUGCAGAUUGGACUGUAUUUCUUGGAUAGUUCAGGGGCAGGC